AUUGAACGCUGGCGGAAUGCUUUACACAUGCAAGUCGAACGGCAGCACGGACUUCGGUCUGGUGGCGAGUGGCGAACGGGUGAGUAAUAUAUCGGAACGUAUCCAAUAAUGGGGGAUAACUAAUCGAAAGGUUGGCUAAUACCGCAUACGCCUACGGGGAAAGCUAGGACCUUCGGCCUGGCGUUAAUGGAGCGGCUGAUAUCUGAUUAGCUAGUUGGUGAGGUAAAGGCUCACCAAGGCGACGAUCAGUAGCUGGUCUGAGAGGACGACCAGCCACACUGGAACUGAGACACGGUCCAGACUCCUACGGGAGGCAGCAGUGGGGGAAUUUUGGACAAUGGGCGCAAGCCUGAUCCAGCCAUUCCGCGUGAGUGAAGAAGGCC
rnacentral:rRNA from 1 species